rnacentral:pre_miRNA from 1 species
GUACUACUCCCUCCAUCCCAAAAUUCUUAUCUUAAAUUUGUCUAAAUACGGAUGUAUCAAGUCACGUUUUAGUAUUAGAUGCAUCUGUAUCUAGACAAAUGUAAGAGAAGAAUUUUGGGACGGAGGGAGUACUAC